AUGCCUCCUCCCACCGUCCCCUUCUUCCUCACCUCCACCACGCUCGCCACCGCCGCGAAACCGCAACGGCAGCAGCUACCGGCGCAGCCGCCGUCAUGCGGCGCCCAAACCCCAGCCGACUCCCUCGCCGCGUCGUACACCGCGCGCAUGCGGCUCAACCCGCACCUCGCGCUCCGCUUGUUCGACCACCUGCUCCGCUCCGGCGCCGACCCGGACCCCAUAGCGUACGCGCUCGCCCUGGCCCGCUGCGCGCGGGCGCGGGCCCACCCCGCUGCCGCGCAGCUCCACGGGCACGCCGCCAAGCGCGGGGCCGCGUCCCACCGCCGCGUGCGCAACGGGCUCAUCCACGCCUACUCCGUCUGCGGGAUGCUCCGCGACGCGCGCAAGGUGUUCGACUAUGGGCCCGAGGUGGACAUGAUCGCCUGGAACUGCCUGCUGCGAGGGUACGCGCAUGUCAGGGACGCAGGAGCACUCCGGGAGUUCUUCGCGCGGAUGCCAGCCCGAGACUCGGUCUCUUGGAACACGGUCAUUGCAUGGUGUGUUGUGAAUGGGGAGCAUGAGGAGGCAGUUGCGGUGUUCCGGGAGAUGCUUGCGAGCAAUGAGUGCCAGCCUGAUAGGGUGACAUUGGUGAGCGUAAUCUCAGCAAUCGCGUACUUGGGAGCACUUGCGCAGGGGCUCUGGGCACAUGCAUAUGUUUGCAGGAAAGAGAUUGAGGUCGAUGAGAAGUUGAGCUCAGCUCUAAUAAACAUGUACUCCAAGUGUGGUUUCAUUGAGGGUUCAGUUUAUGUGUUUGAAAAUUCGUGUGCGCUGAGGAGCGUGGAUACCUGGAAUGCGAUGUUAGCUGGUUUCACAGCAAGUGGCUGCAGUGAAAGAGCUUUGGAUCUUUUUGCUAGAAUGGAGUCAUCUGGGUUCAUGCCUAACAAAAUUACGUUUAACAGUUUACUGAAUGCUUGCAGCCACGGGGGGUUUGUUGAGGAAGGUAUUGGUUAUUUUGAGAGAAUGACAAAUUCGUAUAGUAUUGAGCCCGACAUUGCCCACUAUGGUUGUAUGGUGGAUCUGUUUUGCCGCGCGGGGCUGUUUGAGAAGGCAGAGGAGAUGAUUCAGAUGAUGCCAAUGGAGCCAGAUGCUGCUGUGUGGAAGGCCCUAGUUGGUGCUUGUAGAACUUACAACAACUUCGAGUUGGGAAAGAAGGCAGGCCACAGGCUUAUCGAGGCUGCACCGAAUGAUCAUGCAGGGUAUGUGUUACUAUCCAACAUUUAUGCGCUGGAUGGCAACUGGAAAGGAGUGCAUAAGGUGAGGAAGCUGAUGUUGGAUUGUGGAGUGCAGAAGGUACCUGGGAGCAGUUCAAUAGAACUUGAUGGUGUUAUUCAUGAGUUCAUAUCUGGAGAUAAAAGUCACUCAAGGAAGAGGGAUGUAUAUGAGAUGCUAAGCGAGAUAUGCCAGCAGUUGAAAAUUGCGGGAUAUGCUCCAGACACCUCCCAAGUGCUGCUAGAUAUUGAUGAUGAGGAUGUGAAAGAGAGUUCACUUGCUCUUCACAGCGAGAAGCUUGCACUUGCCUUUGGGUUGAUUAGCACUGCACCUGGGACACCAAUUAGAAUUGUAAAGAACCUCCGGGUCUGUGGAGACUGUCAUAAUGCGAUAAAACUUCUAAGCAAGAUUUAUGGGAGGUGCAUUAUUGUUAGGGAUGCAAAUCGAUUUCAUCGUUUCAGAGAAGGGUCUUGUUCUUGCGGAGAUUACUGGUAA
rnacentral:rRNA from 1 species